GCCCGCGUAGCUCAAUGGCUAGAGCGUGGGACUUUUAUUUCCCAUAAAUGAAAUCCCAAGGCUGUGGGUUCGAGUCCCACCGUGGGCG